rnacentral:piRNA from 1 species
GCUGAUCAUCGACUCCCCUCAGUCUCACCC